rnacentral:rRNA from 1 species
UAGGGAAUCUUCCGCAAUGGACGAACGUCUGACGGAGCAACGCCGCGUGAGUGAAGAAGGAUUUCGGUUCGUAAAACUCUGUUGUUAGGGAAGAAAAAAUGUAUAGUAACUAUAUACAAAAGAGACGGUACCUAACCAGAAAGCCACGGCUAACUACGUGCCAGCAGCCGCGGUAAUACGUAGGUGGCAAGCGUUGUCCGGAAUUAUUGGGCGUAAAGCGCGCGCAGGUGGUUUAGAAAGUCUGAUGUGAAAGCCCACGGCUCAACCGUGGAGGGUCAUUGGAAACUAAUAAACUUGAGUGCAGGAGAGAAAAGUGGAAUUCCUAGUGUAGCGGUGAAAUGCGUAGAGAUUAGGAGGAACACCGGGGGCGAAAGCGGCUUUUUGGCCUGCAACUGACACUGAGGCGCGAAAGCGUGGGGAGCAAACAGG